rnacentral:rRNA from 1 species
CUAACCGUAAACGAUGACAACCAGCGAUUAGUCGGUGUUAAUAUACGACCCGACUAGCAGCUUCCGGGAAACCAAAGGUUUUUCGUUUCCGGGGGAAGUAUGGUUGCAAAGCUGAAACUUAAAGGAAUUGACGGAAGGGCACCACCAGGAGUGGAGCCUGCGGCUUAAUUUGACUCAACACGGGAAAACUCACCCGGCCCGGACACCGUAAGGAUUGACAGACUGAGAGCUCUUUCUUAAUUCGGUGGGUGGUGGUGCAUGGCCGUUCUUAGUUGGUGGAGCGAUUUGUCUGGUUAAUUCCGAUAACGAACGAGACUCUGGCCUAUUAAAUAGUCGGUAUAUCCGGAAAAGUUUACCGUACUUCUUAGAGGGACAAACGGCGUCUAGCCGCGUGAAAUAGAGCAAUAACAGGUCUGUGAUGCCCUUAGAUGUCCGGGGCUGCACGCGCGCUACACUGAAAGAAUCAGUAUGCGCUUUAACCUAGUCCGGAAGGAUUGGGUAACCCGAGCAAAUUCUUUCGUGCUUGGGAUAGGGAAUUGCAAUUAUUUCCCUUAAACGAGGAAUCUCCCAGUAAAUGCGGGUCAUAAGCUCGCGUUG